rnacentral:rRNA from 14 species
GACGUCAAGUCAUCAUGGCCCUUACGGCCUGGGCUACACACGUGCUACAAUGGCGGUGACAGUGGGCAGCAAUCCUGCAAGGGUGAGCUAAUCUCCAAAAGCCGUCUCAGUUCGGAUUGCACUCUGCAACUCGAGUGCAUGAAGUUGGAAUCGCUAGUAAUCGCGGAUCAGCAUGCCGCGGUGAAUACGUUCCCAGGCCUUGUACACACCGCCCGUCACACCAUGGGAGUGGGUUGCAAAAGAAGUGG